GGCUGCCAGCCAUAACAAGAUGUACACUUGUAAAUUCAGAGGCAAUUGAGAAGGGGUGGGGAAGAAAGGCUAUCAUUCUUGUACUUGCUGUGUGCAAACAGCCUCCUCUAUGGACAGUGUGGUUCUUAAUAGCACCUUGUAAUGCUUAGUCUCAAAAGUGUUUUGUAUACAUUUUCUCAUAAUUUCCUCAUUCAUACAGUGGUAAGUAUCUGCCUGUCACGUGAGAGACUUGGGCUUGAUUCCCCAAUGGGGAUCCAGUGAAUUUUGAGAGCCUGUGUAGUGUUGGGGUUAGAGUGCUGGACUAGGACUCAGGAGACCAGAGUUCAAAUCCUCGCUCAGAUGUAAAACUCACUGGGUGACCUUGGGCCAGUCACAGUGUCUCAGCCUAACCUACGUUGCAGAUUGUUGUAAUUUACAACCAUUUGUAAGGAUAAAAAAUGGAGCUGAGAAGAACCAUCUAAGUCACCUUGAGCAUCUUGGGGGAAAGGUGGGGUAUAAAUGUAACAAUAAAUAUAUAUAAUAAAUAAUUCCUUACAUCAGCCUUGUCAGGCAGGCCAGUGUUGUGACCCUGCCUUACAGAAAGAGCAGGGGUGCUGUGGUGGAAGAGAGCGGCUUGCUUUUGUGAGUUAGUAGUUGGUAGGUGAGAUUCAAAUCUGGGAUGUCUGGCUCAAGCUCUGCACUACUAUCUUAUAUUGACUCUUUUCUCUCUUCACUAGAGUUCACCACAGAAAUGACUUCAUAUUUAUUUUCUCUCCCAAGGAUAUGAGGAGGAUAUGAGGAGUGGACUUGGUGUUGGAACCUGUUGGGCAACUUUAUUUUGCCUCCCCAGCAGAAGAUGAAGAAAGGAGCAAAGGGGGAGGAAGAAAACAAGCCCAGAGACACCUACUGAGAGGGCAGGCCUCUUACAGCCCUGGCCUGUUCCUUUGCUACCCUCAUCUUCAUUUUCCUCCCCCAUCCCAUUCUUAAUCCACCUUCCAAAUUUGAGGCCAAGAAAAAGGAAAAAACACCCUGAGCAACAACAGGCAGCUUCCUUUGUAUUCAGGGACAAUGUCAGGAAUUUGUCCAGCUAUAACAACUAGAGCAUGGAUCAUGAGGUCCAGAAACUUGUUCUUUAAAAUAAAUGAAAGCUGCAAUUUUCACUCCCUAUUCCUUUUAGGUUUAUGCUCCUAGUGUUACUGUGUUUUGUUCUCUUGCAAAUCUCCCUGGAAAUGGUUACUAAUGAUGCUUUAUUUGUAGAGUUUUGAAUGUCUAUUUUGUACAAUUUUUGCUUGUAAUGCUUUUUUUGUUUUGUUUUUUGUUUCAGAUCGUAAUUUGUUUUUCCUGUUGAUGUUGCUGCUUUAAGCGUGGAUCUUUCUUGCAGUUUGUGUUUGACCUUUAUCUGUAAUGUUUUAUUUCGAUAUUCUGUAAUGUUCUAUUUGACAUUGCGAGUUACGCUGUAAAGGAUUUGGAGAGUUGUUUAUUUUGUUAUUUAAACAUGAAGUGGUCUAGAAAUGAUUUCAAGAAAGAAAGAAAUGUACACUGGAGGGAAAUCUGUAAUAUAAGUCAAUGUCUGCUUCUGCUGUGCGCUGUGACUGCUGGGAAAUGUCUUCUUUGGUUAUUUUGAGACAGCAAGCUCUGCUUUCCCCUUCUGUUUCCUUUCUCCAGGCGACUGUUAAAGGCCAGACCUGUACUGUGUCUCUUUGCCCUCUGCAUCUCAAAAAGUAGCAAAGGCGCGACUCCUCCGGUGCAUCUGGGGCUCAGCUCUACAGGCCACAGUGGCUUAGGGCUGCCAAUUAUUUCACCAGCUUCUGCUCUUUCGUUGCCUCUAAUAUAUUCAAACAGCAUGCCAGGCUAUUUCUUUCGGCCUGUUCAGUUGGCAACUUAAGUCACAGCACACACCUUCUCUUCCUGCUCCUCACCAAACCCCUGGACUUAGAAGGACCCCCUUGGCUUGGCAUGGUGUGCAUGUGUGAAAUCAGAUCUACGCCCAACUUCCCAAAUCCGGUUAAUCUGCCUCCUCCUGGCCUGGCGAGGGUGGCUUAUUUUGGAAGGCAAGUGCUGCAGUCUGAAGAACCGCUGCUGGCUGAAGGCCCCCCGCCCCUAUUUGCAUAGCUCCUAGACAGGCGUGCGCCUCUGUUUUUGCACCACGUUGUGACCUUCCCCCCUCCCCAUUUUUCAAGGCAACACCCAGGGGACCCGCCAAGGCCACACAAAGGCCCUUCCUUCCUCUCAGCUGAGCUCCUUGCUUCA